AUGGAGAUGGUGGAGAAGCUUUCUCUCACCACAAGACCACAUCCACAUCCUUACUACAUCCAAUGGUUCAACAACAGCGGCAAGGUUAAGGUAACACGUACUGUUCGUGUGCAUUUUAGUAUCUCUACAUAUGCUGAUUAUGUUGAUUGUGAUGUGGUACAUAUGCAAGCAUGUUCCUUAUUACUUGGUAGACCAUGGCAAUUUGAUAAAAAUUCUGUACACCAUGGUAGAAACAAUCACUAUACUCUUAUUCAUAAGGAUAAAAAUAUUACUUUGCUUCCUAUGACCCCUGAUUCCAUUUUGAAAGAUGAUAUUAAUAGAGCUAAUAAAGCACAACAGGAGAAGAAUAAGAGUGAAAAUCAGAUUGUGGCAAAAGAAUUUGAGCAACAAAUGAAGCCUAAUAAUAAACCAUCUAGUGUUGCUUCUGAAAUUAAAUUGAAAAGUGCAUGUUUAUUUGCCACCAAAUCUGAUAUUGAUGAGCUAGAUUUCAGCAAAUCUGUUUGCUAUGCUUUUGUGUGCAAAGAGGCAUUAUUUUCAUUCGAGGACGUGCCUUCCUCUUUGCCUCCUGCUGUCACUAACAUUUUGCAGGAGUUCGCUGACGUUUUUCCACAAGACGUGCCACCGGGAUUACCGCCUAUUCGAGGGAUUGAGCAUCAGAUCGACUUAAUUCCCGGUGCUUCACUGCCAAACCGUGCACCAUACCGUACCAAUCCAGAGGAGACAAAGGAGAUUAUGCGUCAAGUACAAGAGCUUCUCGACAAAGGUUAUAUACGCGAAUCCCUUAGUCCUUGUGCUGUUCCUAUUAUUCUAGUGCCGAAAAAGGAUGGUACAUCACGUAUGUGUGUUGAUUGUAGAGGCAUUAAUAAUAUUACUAUUCGUUAUCGUCAUCCUAUUCCUAGGCUAGAUGAUAUGCUUGAUGAAUUGAGUGGCUCUACAAUAUUCUCCAAAGUUGAUUUGCGUAGUGGCUACCAUCAAAUUCGUAUGAAAUUGGGAGAUGAAUGGAAAACAGCAUUUAAAACUAAGUUUGGAUUAUAUGAGUGGUUAGUCAUGCCUUUUGGGUUAACUAAUGCACCUAGUACUUUCAUGAGAUUAAUGAACGAAGUUUUACGUGCUUUCAUUGGACGAUUUGUGGUAGUUUACUUUGAUGACAUAUUGAUUUAUAGCAGAUCUUUGGAAGAACAUUUGGAACAUUUACGUGCUGUUUUUAUUGCUCUACGUGAUGCACGUUUGUUUGGUAACCUUGGGAAGUGCACCUUUUGCACCGACCGAGUAUCUUUUCUUGGCUAUGUUGUUACUCCACAGGGAAUUGAAGUUGAUAAAGCCAAGAUUGAAGCUAUUGAAAGUUGGCCGCAGCCCAAAACGGUCACACAAGUGAGGAGUUUUCUUGGCCUCGCUGGAUUCUAUAGGCGUUUUGUGAGAGAUUUCAGCACCAUUGCUGCACCUCUCAAUGAGCUUACAAAGAAAGAUGUGCCUUUUCUUUGGGGUACCGCACAGGAAGAAGCCUUCACGGUAUUGAAAGAUAAGUUGACACAUGCUCCUUUACUCCAACUUCCUGAUUUUAAUAAGACUUUUGAGCUUGAAUGUGAUGCUAGUGGAAUUGGAUUAGGAGGUGUGUUAUUACAAGAUGGCAAACCUGUUGCAUACUUUUCUGAAAAAUUGAGUGGGCCUAGUCUGAAUUAUUCUACUUAUGAUAAAGAAUUAUAUGCUCUUGUUCGGACUUUAGAAACAUGGCAACAUUAUUUAUGCCCAAAGAAUUUGUUAUACAUUCUGAUCAUGAAUCUUUGA
rnacentral:rRNA from 1 species